rnacentral:tRNA from 1 species
GUAGCUCAGCUGGAUAGAGCAUCAGACUACGAAUCUGAGGGUCGGACGUUCGAAUCGUUCC